CUGGCGCCCGGGCCCUUUGCCUGCAGAGCCCCUUGGGGUCCGGCGGCUGCCGUACCGCGCGCUGCGGACCUGCUUCCCUUUUCAAAGCUAACUGGAGGCCGGCUGGUCUUUGGAGGCAAUGGUGUCGCCCCCUCCCCCACUCCACAAUUUAAAAAGACAUGAUUUAGGGUGCAUUUUUCUGAAUCUUUGAGAAUGACCCAGAUUUUAAUCCCAGCGUGACCACCUAGGAGUUUAUCAUCAUCAUCAUCAUCAUCAUCAUCAUCAUGGUUGAUUGGAUACAGACAGCCAGAAACUGAGAGGAUAAGGGAGAGAGACACCCGCAGCCCUGUUCCACCACUCGCAAAACUUUCCCCCUGCAAGUGGGGACCGGGGGCUCGAACCCGGGUCUUUGUGCCCUGUGACAGAGCACAUUUUGGGAAAUGCUGACAUAAAGAAAAUCAUUUUUUAAAAGAAAGAAAGAAAGAAAUCAUUUACCCGAACACGGGACUGUUCAAAAGUGGCCUUCACCUCAUGGAUCACCUGCCUCCACAUCAGUUUUAAGUAACAGUGUCUGAAGUUUUAACUCUGAAGUCACCUUCUUCACCUCAGCUUGGAUGGAGCUUAAAGGAAUCAUGUGACAUGAGAUCAGCCAGAAAGAGAAGGAUGAAGGUGGGAUGACCUCAUUCAUGGACAGAAGUUGAGAAAGAACAACAGAAGGGAAAAACACAAAGCAGGCCUGGAGUUGGUGUAUUGCAGCAAAGUAAAGGACU